rnacentral:misc_RNA from 1 species
GAUGAAGAACGUAGUGAAAUGCGAUACGUAAUGUGAAUUGCAGAUUUCAGUGAAUCAUCGAAUCUUUGAACGCACAUUGCGCCCGCCAGUAUUCUGGCGGGCAUGCCUGUUCGAGCGUCAUUUCAACCAUCAAGCGCCUCGCUUGUGUUGGGGCCCUGCGGCUGCCGCAGGCCCCUAAAUCCAGUGGCGGGCUCGUCGUCGUACCGAGUGCAGUAAACAUCCUCGCUCAGGGAACCCGACGGGUGCCGGCCGUGAAACCCCCCCUCCUCAAGGUUGACCUCGGAUCAGGUAGGAAUACCCGCUGAACUUAAGCAUAUCAAUAAGCGGAGGA